UGCGUAGGUGGGUUGGUAAGUCAGUGGUGAAAUCUCCAAGCUUAACUUGGAAACUGCCGUUGAUACUAUCAAUCUUGAAUCUCGUGGAGGUAAGCGGAAUAUGUCAUGUAGCGGUGAAAUGCUUAGAUAUGACAUAGAACACCGAUAGCGAAGGCAGCUUGCUACACGAGUAUUGACACUGAGGCACGAAAGCGUGGGGAUCAAACAGGAUUAGAUACCCUGGUAGUCCACGCCCUAAACGAUGGAUACUCGACAUACGCGAUACACAGUGUGUGUCUGAGCGAAAGCAUUAAGUAUCCCACCUGGGAAGUACGACCGCAAGGUUGAAACUCAAAGGAAUUGG
rnacentral:rRNA from 1 species